UGUACAUAGGAAAGGGUCAGUGUAACAGUUCCCUUCUUCACAUUUCCAAGAGUCCAAAAGCUGCAAAAGCCACACCCAUUCAAGAUCUCUCCUCAUCUUCCUAUCUGUUUAAAAUCUGCAUCUUCUGAAAGACUUUAAUGCUCCUUCUGCUACCUGGAUAUCUAGUUUAACACCAUUGGCUUCUCAAAUGUCAUGCUUAAAAUAGGUUUUAACUUUCUAAUACUGAGUGAAUACUGUUGGAGAUUCAGAAAAUCCACAGUUUGAAUGGACUUCUUGUUCAUCUUACAGAACCUCAGGUUUAACUCAAUGAAGCUGAUGACCUGGUAACCUUUGUGGUGUCCUGAUAGUCUCCAGAAUGCAAACCUUCAAACAGAGAUGCUGAAAAGUAAAAUUAUUCAUCAAAUCUAAAGAGCAGAUGAGAAGUCGCUCAAAGGAGAAGACAAUUGUAUGGAGCAAAAUGCAGACAAUUGGAAUGAAUACACGAUACUGUACACUGAUCCACUUUUCUUUGUUUUCUCUUUCCAUGAUAACGAAAUCAAACAGCCUUAUGGACAAUGG